AUGGGCACCUCAAGGGUUAAAUCAAAGGUGCAGGAAGAGAAGGUCCUUCAUUCCAACGGGCCAGCAAAUCCAAGUCACCUGUUGCUUUUUUUUUUGGAAGCAUUCACCGGUUGCUAUGGCACCGGACCCAGACUCAAUUCAGGACUCUCGACUGGUGGUCAGUCAUUCAGACAUUCAGUUUUGGAGAAAAAAAUGGUCACUGAUGCACGCUUGUGUGGAGCAGAAUAUAGAAAGGUCUUGUGCAAGGUCCUUGGGGGAAUCAGCUCCACAACCUGGCCAAGCAUGGACUACACGGCAAGCCUCGCAAUGACUGGUUCUGAAAUAUUAAUGACAACAGACUGUAUACAUCCAUGCAGAGGCGCUUCUCCGAUGGAAAUCUAG
rnacentral:rRNA from 1 species